UGGGGAAUUUUGGACAAUGGGGGGCAACCCUGAUCCAGCCAUUCCGCGUGAGUGAAGAAGGCCUCGGUUGUAAGCUCUUUCGGUCAGGAACGAAACGGCGGGCGUCUAACAUAGCCUGUCAAUGACGGUACCUGAAGAAGAAGCACCGGCUAACUACGUGCC
rnacentral:rRNA from 1 species